GUCCCCAUCGUCUAGCCCGGCCUAGGACACCGCCCUUUCACGGCGACAACGCGGGUUCGAAUCCCGCUGGGGACGCCA
rnacentral:tRNA from 1 species